AGCGAACGCUGGCGGCAUGCCUAACACAUGCAAGUCGCACGGGGGGGCUUCGGCCUCCCAGUGGCGGACGGGUGAGGAACGCGUAGGGACCUGUCGAGGGGUGGGGGAUAACCGCGGGAAACUGCGGCUAAUACCGCAUGACGCCGCGGCGUGACAGCCGGGGCCAAAGGCGAAAGCCGCCCGCCGAGGGGCCUGCGUCCGAUUAGCUGGUUGGCGGGGUAGCGGCCCACCAAGGCGUCGAUCGGUAGCUGGUCUGAGAGGGUGAUCAGCCACACCGGGACUGAGACACGGCCCGGACUCCUACGGGAGGCAGCAGUGGGGAAUAUUGGACAAUGGGCGCAAGCCUGAUCCGGCAAUGCCGCGUGGGUGAAGAAGGUCUUCGGAUUGUAAAGCCCUUUCGGCGGGGACGAUGGUGACGGUACCCGCAGAAGAAGCCCCGGCUAACUUCGUG
rnacentral:rRNA from 1 species